rnacentral:rRNA from 1 species
UAGCCACGGUAAUACCAGCUCUCCGAGUGGUAGGGACGAUUAUUGGGCUUAAAGCGUCCGUAGCCGGCUCAGUAAGUCUUCUGUUAAAUCCAACGAUCUAAUCGCUGGACUGCAGAAGAUACUGUUGGGCUAGGGGGCGGGAGAGGCCGACGGUAUUUCUGGGGUAGGGUGAAAUCCUAUAAUCCCGGGAAGACCACCAGUGGCGAAGGC